CUGGUCACUGGGAGAAAGGAGUGAAGC
rnacentral:piRNA from 1 species